UACGGAGGGUGCAAGCGUUAUCCGGAUUCACUGGGUUUAAAGGGUGCGUAGGUGGGUCUGUAAGUCCGUGGUGAAAUCUCCGAGCUUAACUUGGAAACUGCCAUGGAUACUAUAGGUCUUGAAUACUGUGGAGGUCAGCGGAAUAUGUCAUGUAGCGGUGAAAUGCUUAGAUAUGACAUAGAACACCAAUUGCGAAGGCAGUUCACUAGGCCUGUAUUGACACUGAGGCACGAAAGCGUGGGGAUCAAACAGG
rnacentral:rRNA from 1 species